ensembl:lncRNA
GCGGGACUGAGAUGAUGGAUGCUGGUCCGGGAAAUUCUGCGCAUGCGUGGCGCCAUCCCAUGAACUCCCUUGGAAGUCGCGUCUCGUCUCUACUUCUCAGAGAUCCUGAAGAGAUUGAAAAGGAAGAGCAGGCCGCGGCUGAAACGGCUGUGGCCAGGAGGAAUUUCAGGGUGAAUGGACUGCUCCAACUCCCGAAUUUACUGCUACCCAACCAGAGGUCGCCGGCUGGUCGGAAGGUGCAGGUGUCCCCUGAGCCUGUUCAGCAGUUCCCUACUGAGUCUGACUGGUCUGCAACUGCCACUGCUCAGGCCACCAAACGGGUGGGUACAACCACUGAAUGGUCUUAGUCUGUCCUUCCACAGACUGUUCAACAGAAAAUGGAAGUAAGGUUGAUGGAAAAUAAACAGCUUCUAAGAAAAAAGAACGAAAACAGAGCGAGACUCAAACCGUGAGAGUGUCAGAAGGGAAAAUCUCAGGUAAGGAAGCCUUCUCUAGUGGCUGGCCUGCCUUGGAAGGGGCUGCCUCAGGAGGCCAUGAGUUGCCUCCACAGGGAGGCUAAGUGCUUUGGGGAAUGUUGUGAAAGGAUCCCUUCAUCAUAUAAGGAGUUGGAAUAAAUUCUUGCUCAGGUCCCUUCCCACUCUAAUGUUCCACGGUCCUGGAAUCCUCCACUUAAACCUCAAUGAAUUAUAGAAUCGUGAAGGAACUUCAGCCAUUGCAUUGUCCUGUCCAUGGGUGAGGAAUAAACUGUUGUGGUCAAUGAGGCAGAGAAGUUUGAGUCAAGCAGCUCUGGGAGUGGGAGUAGAGGGGGCUGCGCCUAGACCACCGCUGCUCCUUCACUCACCCCACUAUCUUCUCCUCACUGAAGAUGCCAGGUAGGGGGCAGGGCAGGAAAUCAUACUGUGCUUUAUACAUAUUUAUCUGCACGUUAGUUAACAGCAAACUGGAAACUUAGUAGGCCUGUGCUGUGUUUCCCAGACUCUGAAGCUUUGUUAAAAUUUAAAAAAUAAAAAAAAUUAAAUUAAGAAACCCUCACCCUCACCCCAUGCACAAUGUCCUGUUAAAUCACAUACAGUCUUAGGCUCAUCAAUAGUUUACUCAUGUCACCAAUUCUCACCCUCUCUUUGUAGUGUGUCUUCCUCUACACACACACACACACACACAGCAUGAGCCAUUCACUGUGCAGGAACCCAGUUUGGUUGCAUAUUAAUCACAAGGAUCCUUGGAUCCAAAUGGAAAUUGCCUGCAAUGUGGAUUCAGAGUGUGGUUUGGCUUUGAACUGCAUCUUUUCCCCUGGUAAUUUUCUCAAGGGACUUGAGUAAGUUGGGCUUUCAUAAUUAAAGAAAUUGUGUCUUUGUGGGAACAUUUGAAAUAACUUUGGUCUUGAAUCUAUUUACCAUUGGAAUCUCAAUCUAAUGGCUUGUAAUAGUGAAUCCAAGGGCAUUCACAGGCCUCCACCCAGUAACAUAAUGAAAUAGAUUAGAGAUGGAAGAGGGGAGAGGGAAAAAACCCACAACCCAGCCUUGGAAAAUUUCUUAAAAUGAUCAGGACUACAUAAAUUACCUACAACCAAAAAAAAUUUAGCUUGAUCCUAUCACAUUUGCUCCUUUCCUGGCCCUAACCAUCCCCAUCUCCUUUCAUUCCUGUUAUCUCUCUAGGCCAUGAUCUUUCAACAUCAAUGAUGCUGUCAGUCAUCAUAGAGAUCCCUUUGACAAGUCAGAAACUUGCCAAAUAUUACUGUGGCCAAUGCUAUUGUGAAGGAAACAGGAAGAAACAUGAUUCUCUGUACCAAGGUUUGGACUCUUAGCAAUAACGCAUGGAAGCGUGAAGUCAUGGGGUUUGACUCUAGGCCCCCACAUAUUGAAAGAAAGCAUUCAUUAAUAAUUGCAAAGGACAUACUCCAGCCCCGCUCCUUCCCUGUAAUGCAGACCCUGUGUGGGUAGGAAUUAAUAUGAGUAUAGGGACCAUAUCUCCCCCUUCUUUGUGUCUCCCACAUAGCUCAGCACAGUGCUUGCCGCUUCAUAAGAACUCAAUAAGUGAUUAAUAGAUUAAAGUGGAGAGUUCCUAGUUAGCAAUCUCACACCAGGCACAAAAUUCAUGAGACUCACCAUUGCUGGUGCCUAUGUAAAUUCAUCCUGCUCAGCCCUAUAUGCAAAUACAGUGGGUUUGUAGCCCUAAAGUUUUGAAGGCAUUGAUGUGUCCAAUCUGGAGAAAUUAAGGUAUUUUAUCCGGUUGCAUCUUUCAGUUUAAGAUAGUGUAUUUGACUAGAACAGAGAUUGUAACUUUUACUCAAGAGAUAUCUCUUCUGGUCUCAUUCUAUUAGUUACAGUAAGGUCCCAUCAUUAAAGACUUUACUCCUUUGCUGGGAGAGAACUUGUGAUGAGUGACUGACUUCAACAAUUGGCUGAGGGAACAAGAUUCAUUCAUUGAAUCAAAGAAAAAGAAUGUCAAGGAAAGACGAGAUUGUCAAAGAAUAAUUCUCUGAUGUGGAGAAAAGGGAACCCUUGUAGACUGCUGGUGGGAAUGGAAACUGGUGCAGCCACUGUGGAAAACAGUAUGCAGAUUUCUCAAAAAAUUAAGAAUAGAAAUACCAUACGAUCCAGCUAUCCCACUACUGGGUUUUUAUCCAAAGAUCUUGAAAUCAACAAUCCAAAGAAAUUUAUGCCCGUAUGUUCAUUGCAGCAUUAUUCACAGUAGCCAAGAUGUGGAAGCAACCCACUGCCCCGCUACAGAUCAAUGGAUAAAGAAGAUGUGGG